rnacentral:misc_RNA from 2 species
CAACCCUUAAGCCUAGCUUAGUGUUGGGAAUCUACUGUCGUGGUGGACCUACCCUGUAGCGCCUACCCUGUAGUUCCUUAAAACCAACGGCGGAUCUGUGGUGUCCUCUGAGCGUAGUAAUUCUUCUCGCUUCUGUCAGGCGCCGCGGCUCUUGCCGUUAAACCCUGAAUUUUAAA